rnacentral:rRNA from 1 species
CCUACGGGUGGCUGCAGUGGGGAAUAUUGGACAAUGGGGGGAACCCUGAUCCAGCCAUGCCGCGUGUGUGAAGAAGGCCCUCGGGUUGUAAAGCACUUUCAGUGAGGAAGAACGCCUGGUGGUUAAUACCCAUCAGGAAAGACAUCACUCACAGAAGAAGCACCGGCUAACUCCGUGCCAGCAGCCGCGGUAAUACGGAGGGUGCGAGCGUUAAUCGGAAUUACUGGGCGUAAAGCGCGCGUAGGUGGCUUGAUAAGCCGGUUGUGAAAGCCCCGGGCUCAACCUGGGAACGGCAUCCGGAACUGUCAAGCUAGAGUGCAGGAGAGGAAGGUAGAAUUCCCGGUGUAGCGGUGAAAUGCGUAGGGAUCGGGAGGAAUACCAGUGGCGAAGGCGGCCUUCUGGACUGACACUGACACUGAGGUGCGAAAGCGUGGGUAGCAAACAGGAUUAGAUACCCUAGUAGUC